rnacentral:rRNA from 1 species
AUUGAACGCUGCGGCAUGCUUUGCACAUGCAAGUCGAACGGCAGCGCGGGCUUCGGCCUGGCGGCGAGUGGCGAACGGGUGAGUAAUACAUCGGAACGUGCCCAGUAGUGGGGGAUAGCUCGGCGAAAGCCGGAUUAAUACCGCAUACGACCUGAGGGUGAAAGCGGGGGAUCUUCGGACCUCGCGCUAUUGGAGCGGCCGAUGGCAGAUUAGCUAGUUGGUGGGGUAAAGGCCUACCAAGGCGACGAUCUGUAGCUGGUCUGAGAGGACGACCAGCCACACUGGGACUGAGACACGGCCCAGACUCCUACGGGAGGCAGCAGUGGGGAAUUUUGGACAAUGGGCGAAAGCCUGAUCCAGCAAUGCCGCGUGUGUGAUGAAGGCCUUCGGGUUGUAAAGCACUUUUGGCGGGAACGAAAAGGACUGUGCCAAUACCACGGUUCGAUGACGGUACCCGCAGAAUAAGCACCGGCUAACUACGUG